UUAAAUUCCAUGACGGGAAGAGUACAGAAGGAAACCUUCUUAAGAGAGCCGCUGUGUGGUGAGAAGCGGUGGAGAACCUUCCGGAAAAUCACCCCCGAGAAGUCCUGCUGAAGGAAGUAUAGGCAGGAUCGGUGCACAGCCGUUACUGUGUUGACCGAGUGCCGUACAGAUGUACGGAAGAUGGGUGGUACCGCGGAAUAACAUCCGUCCCUUUU
rfam:Bacillus marisflavi strain JCM 11544 scaffold1, whole genome shotgun sequence.